rnacentral:rRNA from 1 species
AUGAUCACAUAUACACGUUCACUUGGUUGUCUUUCAUUCCCAACUGAUGCGGAGCAUCCUACGGUCAUCUCCAUGUACACCUUCAUAGCACCUCAAGUCCCAAGUGCACCUAUCGGACUUAAGGUGAACCCACUCCUCUUCGAGAUUGACAUGAAUAUCCAUUGGACUUGGUUGCUACCUCACCAUGGAACAUUGUGCAUCAUUAGGUACAAGGACGACCGCCACCAAGCAGCUAGGGAGCAUCUCGGAGGCCGAGGAGAAGGACCCCAAGGCCACAAGGAAGAAGGAGGAGUUCACCAAGAUCAAAGCAGGAAGUCCCAGGCAACCCCGUGCGCACGGCCUCCCCCGACCCCAUGCCCACGGGCCUCCUAG